GACACCAUGGUGAAGGUGAAGGCUGAAGUGAACAGAUUUGGCGGUAUUGGGAGCCUGGUCACCAGGGCUGCUUUUAAUUCUGGCAAAGUGGAUAAUCUUGCCAUCAAUGACCCCUUUAUUGAUCUCAACUACAUGGUUUACAUGUCCCACUAGGAUUCCAUCCAGGGCAAGUUCCACACACUAUCAAUGUAGAGAACAGGAAGCUUGUCAUCAGUGGAAACCCCAUCCCCAUCUUCCAGAAGUGAGACCUACCAAAAUCAAAUGGGGCAAUGCUGGCGCUGAUUAUGUGGUGGAGUCCACCAUUGUCUUCACUACCUUGGAGAAGGCUAGGGCUCACUUACGGGGGGAGCCAAAAACGUCCUCAUCUCCAUCCUCUCUGCUGAUGUCCCAAUAUUUGUGAUAGGUGCGAACUACAAGAAGUACCAGAACAACCUCACCAUUGUCAGCUGUUGCAGUACCAACUGCUUAGCCCCCUGACCAAGGUCAUCCAUGACAACUUUGGCAUCAUGAUGGGACUCAUGACCACCAUUCAUGCCAUCAUUGCCUGUGGUGUGAUGGCCGCAGGGGCCUUCAAAAUAUCAUCCCUGCAUCCUCCUGUGCUGCCAAGGUCGUGGGCAAGGUCAUCCCUGAGCUGAACAGGAAGCUUAUAGGCGUGGCCUUCCAUGUCCCACAGCCAAUGUGCCAGUUGUGGACCUGACCUGCUAUUUGGAGAAAGCUGCCAAUUAUGAUGACAUCAAGAAGGUGGUGAAGCAGGCAUCUGAGGGCCUCCUCCAGGGCAUCCUGGGCUACACUGAGCACCAGGUUGUGUCCUCUGACUUUAACAGUGACACCUACUCUUCCACCUUUGAUGCUGGGCUGGCAUUGGCCUCAGUAACCACAUUGUCAAGCUCAUCUCUUGGUAUAACAAUGAAUUUGGCCACAACAACAGGAUAGUGGACCUCAUGGCCCACAUGGCCUCCCAGGAGUAA